GAUGAACGCUGGCGGCGUGCCUAAUACAUGCAAGUCGAGCGAACAGACGAGGAGCUUGCUCCUCUGACGUUAGCGGCGGACGGAUGAGUAACACGUGGAUAACCUACCUAUAAGACUGGGAUAACUUCGGGAAACCGGAGCUAAUACCGGAUAAUAUAUUGAACCGCAUGGUUCAAUAGUGAAAGACGGUUUUGCUGUCACUUAUAGAUGGAUCCGCGCCGCAUUAGCUAGUUGGUAAGGUAACGGCGUACCAAGGCAACGAUGCGUAGCCGACCUGAGAGGGUGAGCGGCCACACUGGAACUGAGACACGGUCCAGACUCCUACGGGAGGAAGCAGUAGAGAAUCUUCCGCAAUGGGCGAAAGCUUGACGGAGCAACGCCGCGUGAGUGAUGAAGGUCUUCGGAUCGUAAAACUCUGUUAUUAGGGAAGAACAAAUGUGUAAGUAACUAUGCACGUCUUGACGGUACCUAAUCAGAAAGCCACGGCUAACUACGUG
rnacentral:rRNA from 1 species